rnacentral:rRNA from 1 species
CACGGGGGGAGCAAGCGUUGUUCGGAAUCACUGGGCGUAAAGGGCGUGUAGGCGGUCAGGUAAGUGGGAUGUGAAAUGCCUCGGCUCACCCGAGGCACUGCAUUCCAAACUGCUUGGCUUGAGUAUGGGAGAGGAUGAGGGAAUUCCUGGUGUAGCGGUGAAAUGCGUAGAUAUCAGGAGGAACACCGGUGGCGAAGGCGGGUCUCUGGGCCGAAAUUGACGCUGAGGAGCGAAAGCGUGGGGAGCAAACAGG